rnacentral:rRNA from 1 species
GACGAACGCUGGCGGCGUGCCUAAUACAUGCAAGUCGAACGCUGAAGAGAGGAGCUUGCUCUUCUUGGAUGAGUUGCGAACGGGUGAGUAACGCGUAGGUAACCUGCCUUGUAGUGGGGGAUAAUUAUUGGAAACGAUAUCUAAUACCGCAUAACAAUGGAUGACACAUGUCAUUUAUUAGAAUGGGGCAAUUGUUCCAUUACAAGAUGGACCUGCGUUGUAUUAGCUAGUAGGUGAGGUAAUGGCUCACCUAGGCGACGAUACAUAGCCGACCUGGGAGGGUGAUCGGCCACACUGGGACUGAGACACGGCCCAGACGCCUACGGGAAGCAGCAGUAGGGAAUCUUCGGCAAUGGGGGCAACCCUGACCGAGCAACGCCGCGGGAGGGAAGAAGGUUUUCGGAUCGUAAAGCUCGGUUGUAAGGCAAGAAAGGGUGUGAGAGUGGAAAGUUCACACUGUGACGGUAGCUUACCAGAAAGGGACGGCUAACUACGUG